CCCGAGGAAUCCUCUGGAGAUACAGGCCCGCGCAUGCGCGUGCUCGAGCGCUGAAGCCCAUUGCCCGCAGGGCGCUGGACUGGCGCCCCGGCCGGCGAGGCUGUCUAGUCCAGGCUCCAGGCCCCGGCUCUGGCCAGGCGCCGCCGCCUCCCGGUGCAGCUGAAAGUCGACGAAGAGGGCGGGGCGGGGGCGGCUUGUGGACUUCCACACUUUUCCUCUCUUCGGGCCAGUCUGGGGAGAGGGUGGCUAGCUGUGGCGGCGGCCAAUUACGUGGCGGACCUGCGGGGCUAAGCUGGCACGUCACUUCCGACUAGUGGAGUUUUUAGCCUUUUAACAUUCAAGGAUUAGGUAAAAGUCUUGCAGUGAAAAACCCGAGGACCCUUACCGCAAGUGUCUUUUGCUCCCAGCUACUGAUACUGGAUUCCACUCGUGAUUCUCCCUUUCUUAGCGCAUUCAUGAUAUAGACAUCAGUCUCUGAGCUGGAGGAGGACAAAGGCAGCGGUCCUGUGAAUUCUAUGCUCUAGCUUGGGUUAAGGGAUUUGGAAUUGCACUUGUUUCAGAGAGCUCCCUCUUUGCCCACUAGCAGGGCAUUAGCUGGUGCUGAAGACAGUGGCUGCUUGGCGAGCCUGGAUCUCCAAGUGACCCCCUCAGCAACUCCUGAUGAACAGGACUGAAGCCAAUAUUAAAGCAAGUCAACCAAAGGUUCUCUGGUGUAGACAAGACAGCAAAAGGACAGACUACCUUGUGGAACCUAGCAUUGUUCUCCUUCUGCAGCACUAAGUAACAUUUGUUCUCCGUUAAGAUCUUUGCAAACCACACACAAGAAUUGCUGGUCAUCCUGCCAAUAGAUGCUGCUCACAGAACCAAAUUUCCUGUGCUGAAUUGUCACUCAUGGGCUUGAGAGUAGGAGACUGGAGACCAAGGUGGCUAGAAUCCAGUUGGGCCUGAUGUCUCCCUGUUGAAAGGGCUCCUUGUGGAAUGAAUAGCACAUGGCUCCUGUGGUGGAUCUGAUAGUGGCAUAGCACCAAGUGAUGCAGGCCUGCCAGGGGCCACAGACACAGAAGAUGCUCCCGGGGUCCCCCAUGUACUCCAGACACACUGCAGGCCACCUCUCCCAGCAGGUUGCCAGUCAUGGGCCCCAUCAUCAUGACUUCUGUCCAAGGCAAUCAGGAAAUGAUUCCUUUCCCGACUGCUUCUGUCUAGUGCCUGGGAAUCUUGAGUCAAUCCCUCAGUAAGUCAGUGACUAGGGAAAUCCCUCUCUGAGCCUCCCAGUUCAUGUUGCUUAGGGAACCUGAUAUUUUCGUGAAACCUGCCUACACAUGGGCAGCCCAACAGCAGAACAAAUGGUGGUGACCAAAGUGAACAAAGAAGUAUAGUUGUGCCAGCUUCGUAGUUGCCCAUGUGGACAAGUCAGCAGGAUCAGGACACGAGGAAGAGUAAAUGUGAGACAGUCAAUGUGACUUCUGCGAUAAACAGAUUUUUAAACCCCGAAAUUUUGCAAAAUUUUGGUGAAACCUGAACUUUCUUCGUUGCAUAUACUGGCACUAUCUGUACCAUCAUACAACUGUCUCACAUUAAAGCUAUUUUUCUUGGGCACUGAUGAGUAAGGGACUUGCACUUAGGAAUCUGUUACAGUGAGCACAGAAGCAGACCUGUGGGCUCAUAGUCUUCACCCCCCACCCAUAUAUACAAGAUGAACAGAGUGGAGGUUAAACAACUUGACUAAACAACACAGUUCAUGGUAAAGCCCAAGACUGUACCUGCCCAUCCACUGCCUUUUCCAUGUAUCCUGGAACUGAGCAUAGACCUCUUCCCAGGCAGAGCUGACAGCAAGUAAAGGAGAUCAUAAUCAGGGGACCAAACAACUUUGUCUAAAGUGUGAAUGUCACCUAAGGAGAAGCUGUGAGAUCAGAAGGGUGGGGCAGAGGAGCAGACACCAUGAGGGAGAGUCCUUGGGGGUACAUCUGCCAGACUGACACUGUCUGGCCUGGGCAGUGGAGGGGCUAGCAGGAACCACAGGUACUGGUGGUGUGGCUACUACCGUUACAACUGCCUGUGCUUGGACAUGGACCCUCUGCAAUAUGCGGCAGUUUCAUUCAUUGCCCCCUACAUUCUACACCAAGUAGAAAUGGAAGGCAAUUGGAUACUUCACAGACAAGAUCUAAGUGGAGAAGGAAUGCGUCCUGUGGCUGCAGAGAUCCUUGGAGCUUGGAGGGGAGAGCUUGAGCCCCACUGAUGAUGACCUCCCACAGCUCGCCAACUCAGCCCUCCCUAAGUCCCCAUCGGGGGCCAAUUCUCACUCUGGGGUUGGGGGGACUCCACCAUAGCUCAUCCAUCAUAGGGAUGUUGGUAUCUACUGUGGGUUGGGUAGGGCCGAUGUGCUGAGGAUGGCUCCCCCACAAGCAAGAGAUGUGGAUUUGGGGAGCUUCCCAUCUUGUGUUGAAGGAACAUAACUCAGAAUAAUAAGAGCCAACUAUAACAAACCCACAGCCAACAUCAUACUGAAUGGGCAAAAGCUGCAGGCAUUCCCCUUGAAAAGUGGCACAGGAUAAGGAAGCCCUUUCUCACCACUCCUAUUCAAUAUAGUGUUGAAAGUCCUGAUCACAGCAGUCAGGCAACAGAAAUAAUAAAGGGCAUCCAAAUAGGAAGAGAGGAAGUCAAACUAUCCUUGUUUGCAGACAGUAUGAUUCUAUAUCUAGAAAACCCCAUAGCCUCAGCCCAAAAGGUCCUUCAUCUGAUAAUUUCAGCAAAGUUUCAGGAGACAAAAUCAGUGUACAAAAAUCACUAACAUUCCUAUACACAGUCGCCAAGCCAAGAGCCAAAUCAGGAGCACAAUCCCAUUCAUAAUUGCCACAAAAAAGAAUAAAAUACCCAGGAAUGCAGCUAACCAAGGAAGUAAAGGAUCUCUACAAUGAGAAUCACAAACGCUGCUCAAAGAAAUCAGAGAUGACACAAACAAAUGGAAAAACUUUCCAUGCUCAUGGCUAGGAAGAAUCAAUAUCAUUAAAGUGGCCAUACUACCCAAAGCAAUUUAUAGAUUCAAUGCUAUUCCUAUCAAACUAUCAAUUACAUUUUUCACAGAACUAGAAAAAACUUAAAAUUCAUAUGGAACCAAAAAGCCUGAGUAGUCAAGGCAAUCCUAAACAAAAAGAACAAAGGUGGAGGCAUCACAUUACCUAACUUCAAACUACAGGGCUACCAUGACCAAAACAGCAUGGUACUGGUACAAAAGCAGACACACAGACCAGUGGGACAGAAUAGAGAGCCCAAAAAUAAGGCCACAAACCUACAGCCAUCUGAUCUUCAACAAAGUUGACAAAAACAAGCAAUGGGGAAAGGUCUCCCUAUUCAAUAAAUGGUGCUGGGAUAACUGGCUGGCCAUAUGCAGAAGAUCGUAACUGGACCCCUUUUACUAUGUACAAAAAUUAAGAUGGUUUAAAGAGUUAAAACCCAAAAUUAUAAAAAUCCUGAAGAUAACUUAGGCAAUACCAUUCUGGACAUAGGAACUGGCAAAUAUUUCAUGAUGAAGACACCAAAAGCAAUUGUAACAAAAGCAAAAAUGGACAAAUUGGAUUUAAGAGCUUUUUCAUAGCAAAAUAAACAACAGGGCAGACAAUCUACCAAAUGACAGAAAAUUUUUGCAAACUAUGCAUCUGACAAGGGGCUAAUAUCUAGCAUCUAUAAGGAAUUUAAACACAGUUACAGGAAAAAAAAAACCCACUCCAUUAAAAAAUGGGCAAAGGACAUGAACAGACACUUUUCAAAAAAGACAUACAUACAGCCAACUAGCGUGUUAAAGAAAACCUCAAUUAUCACUGAUCAUUAGAGAAAUGCAAAAUCAAAACCAUGAUGAGAUAUCAUCUGCCAGUCAGGAUGGCUACAAAAAAGUAAAAAAAUAAUAGAUGUUGGUGAGGUUAUGGAGAAAAGGAACUUAUACACUUGUUAGGAGUGUAAAUUAGUUCAAUCACUGUGGACAGCAGUGUGGUGAUUCCUCAGAGAGCUAAAAACAACUACCAUUUGACUCACCAAUCCCAUUACUGGAUAUUUACCUAAAGGAAUAUAAAUCAUUCCACCAUAAAGACACAUGCAAGUGUAUGUUCAUUGCAGCACUAUUAACAGUAACAAAGCUGGGCACAGUGGCUCACCUCACGACUGUAAUCCCAGCACUUUGGGAGGCUGAGGUAGGCGGAUCACCUGAGGUCGGCAGUUUGAGACCAGCCUGACCAACAUGGAGAGACCCCAUCUCUACUAAAAAUACAAAAUUAGCCAGGUGUGGUGGCUCAUGCCUGUAAUCCCAGCUACUUGGGAGGCCAAGGCAGGAGAAUUGCUUGAACCCAGGAGGCAGAGGUUGCAGUG
rnacentral:lncRNA from 1 species